CUUUCUGUGCAGGUUGGGAGAGGUGGCAGUGCUCUAUGCUAAAGUGGUAUUGCACUUGUCCCGGCCUGUUGAGGACAG
rnacentral:pre_miRNA from 1 species